rnacentral:rRNA from 1 species
AUAUAAACUCUAAGAGAAAUCAGUUAGUUAACGAAGUGA